rnacentral:rRNA from 1 species
CUGCUCCUAGUACGAGAGGACCGGAGUGGACGAACCUCUGGUGUUCGGGUUGUGUCGCCAGACGCAUUGCCCGGUAGCUAAGUUCGGAAUCGAUAACCGCUGAAAGCAUCUAAGCGGGAAGCGAGCCCUGAGAUGAGUCUUCCCUGAUACUUUAAGUAUCCUAAAGGGUUGUCGGAGACUACGACGUUGAUAGGUCAGGUGUGUAAGUGCUGUGAGGCAUUGAGCUAACUGAUACUAAUUGCCCGUGAGGCUUAACCAUACAACACCCAAGGGGUUU